rnacentral:rRNA from 1 species
CUACGGGAGGCAGCAGUAGGGAAUCUUCCACAAUGGGCGAAAGCCUGAUGGAGCAACGCCGCGUGAGUGAAGAAGGAUUUCGGUUCGUAAAACUCUGUUGUAAGGGAAGAACAAGUACAGUAGUAACUGGCUGUACCUUGACGGUACCUUAUUAGAAAGCCACGGCUAACUACGUGCCAGCAGCCGCGGUAAUACGUAGGUGGCAAGCGUUGUCCGGAAUUAUUGGGCGUAAAGCGCGCGCAGGUGGUUUCUUAAGUCUGAUGUGAAAGCCCACGGCUCAACCGUGGAGGGUCAUUGGAAACUGGGAGACUUGAGUGCAGAAGAGGAUAGUGGAAUUCCAAAUGUAGCGGUGAAAUGCGUAGAGAUUUGGAGGAACACCAGUGGCGAAGGCGACUAUCUGGUCUGUAACUGGCACUGAGGCGCGAAAGCGUGGGGAGCAAACAGGAUUAGAUACCCUGGUAGUCCACGCCGUAAACGAUGAGUGCUAAGUGUUAGGGGGUUUCCGCCCCUUAGUGCUGCAGCUAACGCAUUAAGCACUCCGCCUGGGGAGUACGGUCGCAAGACUGAAACUCAAAGGAAUUGACG